GGCUGGGUAGCUCAGUCGGUAAGAGCACACGCUUCAUAAGCGUGGUGUCGUGGGUUCGAUUCCCACCCCAGCUA
rnacentral:tRNA from 1 species